rnacentral:rRNA from 1 species
AUUGAACGCUGGCGGCAGGCCUAACACAUGCAAGUCGAGCGGAUGACGGGAGCUUGCUCCUUGAUUCAGCGGCGGACGGGUGAGUAAUGCCUAGGAAUCUGCCUGGUAGUGGGGGACAACGUUUCGAAAGGAACGCUAAUACCGCAUACGUCCUACGGGAGAAAGCAGGGGACCUUCGGGCCUUGCGCUAUCAGAUGAGCCUAGGUCGGAUUAGCUAGUUGGUGGGGUAAUGGCUCACCAAGGCGACGAUCCGUAACUGGUCUGAGAGGAUGAUCAGUCACACUGGAACUGAGACACGGUCCAGACUCCUACGGGAGGCAGCAGUGGGGAAUAUUGGACAAUGGGCGAAAGCCUGAUCCAGCCAUGCCGCGUGUGUGAAGAAGGUCUUCGGAUUGUAAAGCACUUUAAGUUGGGAGGAAGGGCAGUAAGCUAAUAUCUUGCCGUUUUGACGUUACCGACAGAAUAAGCACCGGCUAACUCUGUGCCAGCAGCCGCAGUAA